rnacentral:misc_RNA from 1 species
GAUGAAGAACGCAGCGAAAUGCGAUAAGUAAUGUGAAUUGCAGAAUUCAGUGAAUCAUCGAAUCUUUGAACGCACAUUGCGCCCGCCAGUAUUCUGGCGGGCAUGCCUGUUCGAGCGUCAUUUCAACCAUCAAGCUCCCCGGCUUGUGUUGGGGACCUGCGGCUGCCGCAGGCCCUGAAAAGCAGUGGCGGGCUCGCUGUCACACCGAGCGUAGUAGAUCUCAUCUCGCUCAGGGCGUGCUGCGGGUUCCGGCCGUUAAACCACCUUCAUAACCCAAGGUUGACCUCGGAUCAGGUAGGAAGACCCGCUGAACUUAAGCAUAUCAAUAAGCGGAGGA